GAUGAACGCUAGCGGCAGGCCUAACACAUGCAAGUCGAGGGGCAGCACAGAAACAGCAAUGUUUUGGUGGCGACCGGCGGACGGGUGCGUAACGCGUAUGCAACCUACCUUUAACAGGGAGAUAACGGAGAGAAAAUUCCACGAAUACCCCAUAACAUCGAUCAAGGCAUCUUGAUUGGUCGAAAACGCCGGAGGUUAAAGAUGGGCAUGCGUUGUAUUAGGUAGUUGGUGAGGUAAUGGCUCACCAAGCCUACGAUACAUAGGGGGACUGAGAGGUUAGCCCCCCACACUGGUACUGAGACACGGACCAGACUCCUACGGGAGGCAGCAGUGAGGAAUAUUGGUCAAUGGGGGCAACCCUGAACCAGCCAUGCCGCGUGCAGGAAGACGGCUCUAUGAGUUGUAAACUGCUUUUAAACAGGUAUAAAGCACAGUAUGUAUACUGUGUUGAAGGUACUGUAAGAAUAAGGAUCGGCUAACUCCGUGCCAGCCGCCGCAGUAA
rnacentral:rRNA from 1 species